UGGGGAAUAUUGCGCAAUGGGGGCAACCCUGACGCAGCAAUACCGCGUGAGUGAAGAAGGAUUUCGGUCUGUAAAACUCUUUUAUUAGGGAAGAAGAAGUGACGGUACCUAAUGAAUAAGUCCCGGCUAACUACGUGCCAGCAGCCGCGGUAAUACGUAGGGGACAAGCGUUGUCCGGAAUCACUGGGCGUAAAGGGCACGUAGGCGGUUUAUUAAGUCUGAUGUGAAAGGUCUCGGCUCAACCGAGGACAUGCAUUGGAAACUGGUAGACUUGAGUACUGGAGAGGCAAGUGGAAUUCCUAGUGUAGCGGUGAAAUGCGUAGAUAUUAGGAGGAACACCGGUGGCGAAGGCGGCUUGCUGGACAGAUACUGACGCUGAGGUGCGAAAGCGUGGGGAGCAAACAGG
rnacentral:rRNA from 2 species